rnacentral:rRNA from 1 species
AGCCGCCCGUACCCUAAACCGACACAGGUGGUCGGGCAGAGUAUGCCUAGGCGCACGAGUGAAUCAUGGUUAAGGAACUCGGCAAAAUGCCCCCGUAACUUCGGGAGAAGGGGGGCCUGAUACUUGAUGAAACCUUUUUUUGGGCUUUCUAGGGUUGAGGGUCGCAGAGACCAGGGAGAAGCGACUGUUUACUAAAAACACAGGUGCGUGCGAAGCCGUAAGGCGAUGUAUACGUACUGACGCCUGCCCGGUGCUGGAAGGUUAAGAGGAACCGUCAGCUGACUUUUUGUUGGUGAAGCGGUGAAUUUAAGCCCCAGUAAACGGCGGUGGUAACUAUAACCAUCCUAAGGUAGCGAAAUUCCUUGUCGGGUAAGUUCCGACCUGCACGAAUGGCGUAACGACUUCCCCGCUGUCUCAACCAUGAGCUCGGCGAAAUUGCAGUACGAGUAAAGAUGCUCGUUUCGCGCAGAAGGACGGAAAGACCCCGGGACCUUUACUACAGCUUGGUAUUGGCGCCCGCUAUAGCUUGUGCAGGAUAGGUGGGAGACUGUGAAGCCGUUACGCCAGUGGCGGUGGAGUCGUCCUUGAAAUACCACUCUGGUUAUGGCGUGCGCCUGAACCUGGGCCCGUGAUCCGGGUUAGGGACAGUGCCUGGUGGGUAGUUUAACUGGGGCGGUUGCCUCCUAAAGUGUAACGGAGGCGCUCAAAGGUUCCCUCAGCCUGGUCGGCAACCAGGUGUUGAGUGCAAGUGCACAAGGGAGCUUGACUGUGAGACCGACGGGUCGAGCAGGUACGAAAGUAGGAACUAGUGAUCCGGCGAUCCCGUGUGGGUGGGUCGUCGCUCAACGGAUAAAAGGUACCCCGGGGAUAACAGGCUGAUCCUGCCCAAGAGUCCAUAUCGACGGCAUGGUUUGGCACCUCGAUGUCGGCUCGUCGCAUCCUGGGGCUGGAGCAGGUCCCAAGGGUUGGGCUGUUCGCCCAUUAAAGCGGUACGCGAGCUGGGUUUAGAACGUCGUGAGACAGUUCGGUCCCUAUCCUCUGCGCGCG